GCGUUGUUCGGAAUUAUUGGGCGUAAAGGGCGUGUAGGCGGUUUGGUAAGUCGUGGGUGAAAUCUUAGGGCUCAACCCGAAGACUGCACACGAAACUGCCGGGCUUGAGUAUGGGAGAGGUGAGUGGAAUUCCUGGUGUAGCGGUGAAAUGCGUAGAUAUCAGGAGGAACGCCUGUGGCGAAAGCGGCUCACUGGACCAUUACUGACGCUGAGACUCGAAAGCUAG
rnacentral:rRNA from 1 species